CCGAACUUCUCGGGGAGCUGGGGCGAUCGCCCGGCUGAGAGGAGGGCUCGCGGCCCUCGACUCAUGGAACCUGUCUGGAUAAUGCCAGCGUAGGGAAAUGCGCGCACGCAUGUG
rnacentral:ncRNA from 1 species